AGCUCAAAAUCUGCCUUAUUGUAACGACGAUGCUGGGAGACGGGAAGCCAGUACAGGUAGUGAGUUAAAUAAACGUAACAGAACAAAGCAAGGCAAGUGUAGCGUACGUCAUGGAACAUUAUUACUGCCUGGGGAAUAGACUUAAGGGAGUGCCAGAUAUAAGGGAUAUAGGCAGAUAUAAUGAGAAGAGAAAUGGAGUCCAGGUGAGCCAUGAGGAGCAGGUGUGUGUAAGGAUGUUGCCAGGACCGGUCGUUAGUAAACCUGAGACGCUGGAGGGGAGACAUGACAGGAACCACCGGCCUGAGAAGGGAGACAUAAAAGGUCAGAUGCGGUAGUCUCUGGGGAGCUCUAACCUAUAAGUCACCUCAUUGACCCUCCGGAGAAUCUAAAACUGUCCCACAAACCGGGGGCUCAGCUUCUUGCAGGGCAGGCGAAGUGGUAGGUUCCUGGUAAAGAGCCAAACAUGAUCACCAAGAUGGAACACGGGAGUCGGUCUUCUUCUGAUGGUGGACGGCGCACUGGAGUCUCACGUGAGCGUCGCUCCACACUUCUGCACGCCUAAACCACUCAUCUGCCGCUGAAGCUUCGGUCUGGCCUGGGGUCCACGGAGCCAGGGCCGGCAAAUAGGGAGUCAGCCCGGUGGAGGAGUGAUGUAACGAAUCCUGGGCAUACUCCGCCCAUGGAAGGAAUUGGGCCCCCUCCCCCUGCCAGUCCUGUCAGUGUCUCCUGAACCUCCCCAGCGCCUGGUUCAUCUUCUCCACCUGCCUGUUUGACUGAGGCCUAUACCCAGAAGUGAGGCUGACUGUGACCCUGAGCUUCUCCGAAAAGGCUAGAUGUGAAUUGGGGGCCACGGUUGGAGAUGAUGUCCUCCGGAAGGCCAUAAUGCCGGAAGACCUGCUGAAACAGUGCCUCAUUAACCUGGAGAGUGGUAGGGAGGCUAGAGGGAUUAAACAAAAUUCUGUCCCCAACCACCAGAAUGGUGGUGAAACCGUCAGAGGGGAGAUCGGUAACAAAGGUCAAUGGACAGAUGAGACCAGGGACGCUGAGGCACAGGAAGGGGGAGGAGUUUCCAUGCUGGAGCGUGCCGGGAGACUGGGCACACAGAACAGGAGUUGAUGUAGAGUGUAGAGUGUAACGUCCUGCGGCAAGGUGGGACACCAAUAUUUUUCGGAGAGCGAUUGUAUAGUACGGGUGAUCCCAGGAUGUCCAGUGACACAGCUGUGUGUGCCCAGGUCAAUAGUUUCUCCCUUAUCCCAGUGGCAACGUAGAUGCGCUCAGGUAGUGGGAGUAGGUUUCCUUCUCCAGAGCCUGGCGAAAGUCCACAUCUACGUCCCAGAGCACAGGAACUAUGACAAGAGGAACACAGGUCCUCUGGCAUUCGGGUGACCAGUCUGAUUCUCAUCCUCAACCAUGAGGGUGGGGUUAUGGCGUUGGAGCCAUGGGAGGCCAAGGAUGAUCUUGUGAGCUGGUGCACUAGUAAUGAGGGGGAUGUUUUCCUGAUGAAUGGACUCCACGGUGAGUGGUGUGUGAUGAGAGCGGGUAUGAGGGGGAUGUUCAGAGAGGCGGCAAGGGUCUAGUCAAGUUUCCCAUGGCACCGGAAUCCACUGUCGCUGUAGAAACAGUACGUGAGGGACAGCCAGCUUGUGUGAGCGACACUGAAAAGGGUUUAGCAGAAACUGAUGAAGAUGGGAAACUCACACCUGCCCCAGGAUGUGGAAAAUCACGUGACCAUCCCCUCAUGGAUUCCGGGUUGGGAUGUACCAGGCACUGCUGAAGCUGGUGCCCCCCAUUGACCACAAUCGAGAUGGAGCCUCAGCUGUCUCUGCGUCACUCCGCUUGGAGGCGUGUGACCCCUACCUCCAAAGGUUCAGGCUCUGCUACAGAGUGUUCACUGAGGGAGAGAAGCGAUGUGGGUACCAACGCACCCGAAGUAGGUUAUCCAACCGGAUGGCCAUCGAUGAGCCAAGGAGAGGUUGUCGUCAGGACAUGCCAGUUCCGUUUGGACCUCCUCGCGCAGUCCUCUUAUGAAUGGCGUAUGGAGUGCUCCCUCAUUCCAUCGACUGGAUGCUGUGACAGUCCAGAAGGUGAGCGCAUACUCGGCAGCGGUCUGGUCAUUCUGCCCUAGUUGGAGUAGGCACUCACCCCUCUCUCUGUCCUCCAGUGGAUGAUAAAAAAACAGCUCUGAACAGAGCCAUGAACCCCUCUUACGAAGCCAGCACCUCCUCGCCCAGACGGCCGUAACCCACUCCAACGCCCGCCCAGUCAGCAGAGAAAUAACCGUGGCAACCUUUUGACUUCUCUGUGGUUGAGGCUCCCAUCUGAUCCGCAGAAUAGAGGGAGCACUGGAGAAGGAAGCCACGGCAUUUAAAUGGGGUUACAUCGUAUUUAUCCAGAAGGGACAAACGGGCAUCGCUGACCUGGGCAGACAGCUGAAUAGACUGAUGUGCUGGCUCGCUGGGUCGACUGGUGGCAGAGUAUCCUCCGCCAGUGGAAGGCAACACCUUGCAGGCAUGUUCAAGAUGUUGACGACUGCAAAGAACCUCAUCCAUAGCCAUCCCCAGUUGCGUCAGCUGGUCGUGGUGCUUACGAAGUAGGUUUCCCUGUUCGUCGACCGUCUGGGAGAGGUCCUCAUUUCCUGCUGCUUCCAUUUGAGGCUGUGUUCUGUAACAAUGACACUGGGAGACGGGAAGCAAGUGCAGGUAGUGAGUUUAAUAAUAACCGUAACAGAGCGCAUUACAGGACACAAGUGUAGCGUACGGACAUGGAACAACAUUAAUACCGCCUGGGGAAUAGACCUAAGACAGUGCCAGAUGUAUCGUACAAAUUCUAAUUCAUAACAUAUCAUAUGACAUUGUUGAUGGACAUCUACAAAUUAAUACAUAUGCUACGUUUCGUAGGGUAUCAUACUAAAUGGAGUGUCUCGGAUUUACAAAAAGAAUAAUACGAAAUGCUCUGAGACCAGGUUGUUGCUUUGUUCAGUGCUAGUUACCUGUGCAAAUUGUCGAUGCUCAACAGGGUAAGAAUGCUCCAAGUUUACUACAGGCUUUCAACAGGUAUGCAGCUAGUUGACCAGUCCAACAGAAAUACACAGGUAUGCGUCUCCCUGCCCAAAGAUGGCACCAAUUAAUAUUGACUUGAGCAAUGAGACCAGAGGGUAUGCCCAGGUUAGCCUCCUCAAGCCUGGGGUAGACAGAUCCUCUCCGAGGGGUUUAAUCAUAGGAUGAGUGACUCCAGUGGUUUCAAUUCAAGGGAAACUGCCACUAGACAUCUGGUUGCUAUGGAUUCACCCAGGAUGAAGGAACAUUUUGUAACUACAAGCCAAGCUUUCAGGCAGAGAAACACUAUCAUUUGGAAGUGGUGGUUCAGCCCUUAGAGCAGGGAUCAUCUACUAGAUUAAUCCGCGGGCUGUUUUUUCUUGAGCGGAUGGUCCGGCGGGCCAGAACAUAAUUAAGAAAUAAGGCCUUAGGGUGUGUGGUACAGUGCAUUGGGAAAGUAUUCAGACCCCUUCCCGUUUUCCCCAUUUAUUAAAAUAUCACAUUUCCGUAAGUAUUUAGACUCAGUACUUUGUUGAAGCACCUUUGGCAGCGAUUACAGCCUCGAGUUUUCUUGGGUAUGACGCUACAAGUGUGGCACACCUGUAUUUGGGGACUUUCUGACAUUCUUCUCUGCAGAUCUUCUCAAGCUCUGUCAGGUUGUAUGGGGAGUGUUUCUGCACAGCUUUUUUCAGGUCUCUCCAGAGAUGUUAGAUCGGGUUCAAGUCCGGGGUCUGGCUGGGCCACUCAAGGACAUUCCGAGACUUAUCCCGAAGCCACUCCUGUAUUGUCUUGGCUGUGUGCUUAGGGUCGUUGUCCUGUUGGAAGGUGACGCUUGGCAUUCAGCCCAAAGAGUUUAAUAAUGGUUUCAUCAGACCAAAGAAUCUUGUUUCUCAUGGUCUGAGAGUCUUUUAGGUGCCUUUUGGCAAACUCCAAGGGGGCUGUCAUGUGCUUCUUACUGAGGAGUGGCUUCCGUCUGGCCACUCUACCAUAAAGGCCUGAUUGGUGCAAUUUCUGGAAGGUUUUCCAAUCCCCACAGAGGAACUCUGGAUCUCUGUCAGAGUGACCAUCAGGUUCUUGGUCACCUCCCUGACUAGGACCUUGUCCCCGGAUUGCUCAGUUUGGCCGGUCGGCCAGCUCUAGGAAGAGUCUUGGGGGUUUAAAAUUUCUUCCAUUUAAGAAUGAUGGAGGCCACUAUGUUCUUUUGGACCUUUAAUGCUACAGAAAGGUUUUGGUACCCGUCCCCAAAUUUGUGCCUUGACACAAUCCUGUCUCGGAGCUCUACAGACAAUUCUUUCGACUUCAUGGCUUGGUUUUUGCUCUGACAUGCACUGUCAACUGUGGGACCUUAUAUAGACCGGUGUGUGCCUUUCCAAGUCAUGUCCAAUCAAUUAAAUUGACCACAGGUGGUCAAUGGAAACAUGAUGCACCUGAGCUCAAUUUUGAGUCUCAUAGCAAAGGGUCUGAAUACUUAUGUAAAUAAGGUAUUUAUGAUUUUAUUUGAAUGAAUUUGCAAAAAUUUCAAAACUGUUUUUCGGUUUGUCAUUAUGGGGUAUUGUGUGUAGAGGACAAACAUGUAUUUAAUCAAUUUUAGAUUAAGCCUGUAAUGUUACAAAAUGUUUAAAAAGUGAAGAGGUCUGAAUACUUUCCAAAUGCACUGUAAAUGGCCAAGAUACAAUGGCUAAGGGCUGUUCUUAUGCACGAUGCAACGGUGGAGUGCCUGGAUACAGCCCUUAGACAGGGUAUAUUGGCCAUAUACCACAACCCCAGAGGUGCUUUAUUGCUAUUAUAAACUGGUUAUCAAUGUAAUUAGAGCAGUAAAAAUACAUGUUUUGUCAUACCUGUGGUAUACCACGGCUGUCAGCCAAUCAGCAUUCAGGGCUCGAACCACCCAGUUUAUAAUUCCAAAUAAUUUGUAGACUGCAAAUUGACUGCAAAUAAGCCCAAACAGAUAUGUUUGACAAACAGAAUAAUUUCAAACCUUGCUUAUAUUUUAUAUUAUCACGUGUCUAUCUAUUAGGCUUAGGAAUACUUAGGAACAGAUUUCUUAAAUUAAAAUCACUUGGAGCUCAUUUCCCGGUGUUUUUACACUUUUAUGUCCAACAAUAAAAAAACGUUUCAACCAA
ensembl:lncRNA